rnacentral:rRNA from 1 species
GUUGAACGCUGGCGGCAUGCCUAACACAUGCAAGUCGAGCGAACGGCGGACUGGUGAGUAAUGUAUUGGGAUCUGCCUGAUGGCCGCGGAUAACUACUGGAACCGGUGGCUAAUACCGCAUACCAUCCGAUGAACCCAUAUGGGAUUAGCUUGUAGGUGAGGUAACGGCUCACCUAGGCGACGAUCCCUAGCUGGCCUGAGAGGAUGAUCAGCCACACGGGGACUGAGACACGGCCCAGACUCCUACGGGAGGCAGCAGUGGGGAAUAUUCGACAAUGGGCGAAAGCCUGAUGCAGCCAUGCCGCGUGUAUGAAGAAGGUCUUAGGGUUGUAAAGCACUUUCAGCGAGGAGGCGUUACUCGCAGAAGAAGCAACGGCUAACUCCGUGCCAGCAGCCGCGGUAAUUC